CGUGGGCAUCAGAUGAUCAACCGGCUUUUGUGUUCUCUCAUGAAAAGGUAUUGUGAAAUGUUUGUGAUGGUGAACUUGAAAAAGCAUUGUGAAGAUGUCUCUGAGGACAAGAAGCUAGGAGCAAUCUGUUAAUUUAAAAGCUUAAAAAAUUGAGACUAUCCUUUUGAUGGGUUCUGGAUCAGUAGCAGCAUUUUCAGAAGCAGCGUUGCUCCAGAGCCAGCCGCCCUGUAAAGCCCGAAGCAGCGGCAUGCUGUGGGCUGGUGUAGCCAGAAGUCGGGACUCUGGCAACGGCAUAGUGUGGGCUAAAGCGGGAGUACAGCAGUGGAGAAGGAAAAGUUGGACACUAAGUUAUUUUUACUUUUUAUUUUCAGUUAACGAGAAUGGUGCCUACGCAUGGCGAUGGUUCAUCACUUUCAUAUUUAAUACACGUGACAAAUAAAUGAUUCGAUUCAAUUCAA